rnacentral:rRNA from 1 species
ACGGGUGCGUAACGCGUGGGAAUCUCGCCCUUAGGUACGGAAUAACUCGAGGGAAACUUGUGCUAAUACCGUAUGAUGUCGAGAGACCAAAGAUUUAUCGCCUAGGGAUGAGCCCGCGUAGGAUUAGCUAGUUGGUGGGGUAAAGGCCUACCAAGGCGACGAUCCUUAGCUGGUCUGAGAGGAUGAUCAGCCACACUGGGACUGAGACACGGCCCAGACUCCUACGGGAGGCAGCAGUGGGGAAUAUUGGACAAUGGGCGAAAGCCUGAUCCAGCAAUGCCGCGUGAGUGAAGAAGGCCUUCGGGUUGUAAAGCUCUUUUACCCGGGAAGAUAAUGACUGUACCGGGAGAAUAAGCCCCGGCUAACUCCGUG